rnacentral:rRNA from 1 species
AGAACGAACGCUGGCGGCAUGCCUAAUACAUGCAAGUCGAACGAAGGCUUCGGCCUUAGUGGCGCACGGGUGCGUAACGCGUGGGAAUCUGCCCCUUGGUUCGGAAUAACAGUUGGAAACGACUGCUAAUACCGGAUGAUGACGAAAGUCCAAAGAUUUAUCGCCAAGGGAUGAGCCCGCGUAGGAUUAGCUAGUUGGUGAGGUAACGGCUCACCAAGGCGACGAUCCUUAGCUGGUCUGAGAGGAUGAUCAGCCACACUGGGACUGAGACACGGCCCAGACUCCUACGGGAGGUAGCAGUAGGGAAUAUUGGACAAUGGGCGAAAGCCUGAUCAGCAAUGCCGCGUGAGUGAUGAAGGCCUUAGGUUGUAAAGCUCUUUUACCCGAGAUGAUAAUGACAGUAGUCGGGAAGAAUAACGCCCCGGCUAACGUCCGUGCCAGCAGCCGAC